AAGAAGUUGCCAGCUAGGCUUCCGAAGGGCUGUUGCAAUACAUGAAUUUCGCUAAUUAAGCGUUUGUGCGAUUCAUAUGUUUUGAUUCAUAAACAUCCAAAAUCGCAAUAUCCAGUCAAUUUUUAUGUUCAAAUUUGUGAGGUUAUUCAUUUAUUGCACUGUAUUCUGCAUAAACAAAAGGAUGUUUCUUUGAUACAAGUAGUUACCACUUAGCUAAUAUACAUGUAAGUCGUGAACACAUUAUCUGUUUAAGCGGUGCUUUAAUUGGCAUACAAAAUAAGAUUAUAUAUCAUGAAAUGCCAAUUCACAUCUUUAAUUGAUGAGUUAGAAAAUGACUUCUUGUCAUUCAAAUCUUUAUAACAGUCUCAUUACGGGCUUUGUACACCCCAUUACAUAACAUUACAUUAUAUUACAUUACAUUACAUUAGGCUUAUGUUGGAUCCUUAACGUUACACACUGUAGCCUUAAUGAAGCUAUAUGGUCUUUGUACAUAAUUCCCUUUUCUUAUCUGCUGUGGAUCUGGUCGAGUUACAUUUGAUAAUUGGCACAUUUACAAUUGUUACAUGUGUUGUCAUAUUUAUAUACAUGUAUUUGCAUGCAAUAAAAGCUUACAUGAAUGAU
rnacentral:misc_RNA from 1 species